rnacentral:rRNA from 1 species
UACAGAGACCUCAAGCGUUAUCCGGAAUCAUUGGGCGUAAAGCGUACCGAUAGGUGGUUUAUUAAGUCUUGGGUAAAAGCCGGAAGCUUAACUUCCGCGUUUGCUUAAGAUACUAAUAGACUAGAGGGGCAAAGAGGAGAUUGGAACGAACGGUGUAGUAGUGAAAUGCGUUGAUAUCGUUCGGAACACCGAAAGCGAAGGCAGAUCUCUGGGUGCCACCUGACACUGCUAGGACGAAAGCGUGGGGAGCGAAUGGG